UCGAUGAAGGACGCAGCUAGCUGCGUGAUUUAGUGUGAAUUGCAGGACACAUUGAGCAUCGACGAUCUGAACGCGAAUUGCGGCCUCGGGUUAAUCCCGGGACCGCGCCCGCCUCAGGGUCG
rnacentral:rRNA from 1 species